rnacentral:lncRNA from 1 species
GUUGCUCAUUAUUUAAAAGAACCUUUAAAAGACAGUGGAAGAAUAUAUCGUUGUAAUGAAAUAGUGAAAGAUUUUAGACAGAGAUUCCAAGUUGAGAUAACCACUAGUCAAGCUUGGCGUGGAAAAAGUCUGGCACUAGAGCUUUUACAAGGAUCAAGCAGAGAGUCGUUCGCAGAACUACCACUUUACUGUUACAAUCUUGAGCGGGCAAAUCCUGGUUCUGUUACACAUAUCAAGACUGAUGACGAGCGUCGGUUUGAGAUGGUCUUUGUCGCGAUUGGUGCUGCGAUUCGUACCUUUAUAUGCAAUUUAAGACCGGUGGUGAUCAUUGAUGCUGCACACCUAAAGGGUGAAUUUAAAGGGACGUUAUUUUUAGCUGUUGGGAUGGAUGGAAACAACCAAAUUUUACCAAUUUCCUACGGAAUAGGAAAAUCAGAGGAUGGUGAAUGUUGGACAUGGUUUCUGUCAAAGCUUAAAGAAUGUAUCGGUGAAAUACCUGAAAUGGCCAUAAUUUCGGAUAGAGCGAAUUCUAUACAUCUGGCUGUUAGAAACGUCUUUCCACAUGUUUAUCAUGGGUUAUGCUGUCGUCAUUUAAUGAUGAACCUACGUUUACCCU